CUCUCUCUCUCUCUCUCUCUCUCUCUCUCAUCUCUCUCUUUCUCCUCCAUUGAUCACCAUUGGAGAAACCUUCAAGCUUCCUAAAUCACUUCUAUGUUAGUAUCCUCCAUUUAAUCAAGCCCUAAAACACCUUAUACACUUGAAUCAAGAGAUCUUGGAAGAAUUAGAGCUUGGAGUCUAGAGUGAAGAAAUUCUACUUCUCUCAAAAUUCUUGAACACGAACAAAGGAAAGAAGUAAGUUGUCACCACUUUGACGAGAGCUUGAGCUAAAGCCUUCAGGAUAAGCGAGGAGCGAGAUUGGUCUUGUGCUGGUGGGGGAACUAUUUCAGUCGAUGUGUUUGCAUUACCAUAUUUUCUUUUUGUUCAUAGAGUCUAGAUGUGGAGUCACUUUGUGUUUGAGUCAAGCAAUUUACUCUCGGUUAUGUGUCUUCAUACAUAUAAUCGGUUCACCUUUUGCUGCGAUACUCUGCA